AACGAACGCUGGCGGCAUGCCUAACACAUGCAAGUCGAACGAGACCUUCGGGUCUAGUGGCGCACGGGUGCGUAACGCGUGGGAACCUGCCCUUAGGUUCGGAAUAACUCCCCGAAAGGGGUGCUAAUACCGGAAAAUGUCUUCGGACCAAAGAUUUAUCGCCUUUGGAUGGGCCCGCGUUGGAUUAGCUAGUUGGUAGGGUAAAAGCCUACCAAGGCGACGAUCAAUAGCUGGUCUGAGAGGAUGAUCAGCCACACUGGGACUGAGACACGGCCCAGACUCCUACGGGAAGCAGCAGUGGGGAAUAUUGGACAAUGGGCGAAAGCCUGAUCCAGCACUGCCGCGUGAGUGAUGAAGGCCUUAGGGUUGUAAAGCUCUUUUACCCGGGAUGAUAAUGACAGUACCGGGAGAAUAAGCUCCGGCUAACUCCGUG
rnacentral:rRNA from 1 species